GACGAACGCUGGCGGCGUGCUUAACACAUGCAAGUCGAACGGUGAAGCGCCUUCCUUUUUGGUGGGUGUGGAUGAGUGGCGAACGGGUGAGUAACACGUGAGUAUCCUGCCCCCUUCUUCUGGAUAACCGCAUGAAAGUGUGGCUAAUACGGGAUAUUCUGGGUCUGUCGCAUGAUGGGUCUGGGAAAGAUAUUGUUUCGGUGGGGGAUGGGCUCGCGGCCUAUCAGCUUGUUGGUGGGGUGAUGGCCUACCAAGGCGGUGACGGGUAGCCGGCCUGAGAGGGUGGACGGUCACACUGGGACUGAGACACGGCCCAGACUCCUACGGGAGGCAGCAGUGGGGAAUAUUGCACAAUGGGCGCAAGCCUGAUGCAGCGACGCCGCGUGAGGGAUGGAGGCCUUCGGGUUGUGAACCUCUUUCGCCAGUGAAGCAGGCCUGCCUCGUUUGUGGGUGGGUUGACGGUAGCUGGAUAAGAAGCGCCGGCUAACUACGUG
rnacentral:rRNA from 1 species